rnacentral:tRNA from 2 species
GGGCGAUUAGUUCACCGGUAGAACGCUUCGUUUACAUCGAAGAGGAUGGGGUUCAAUUCCCUAAUCGCCCA